rnacentral:rRNA from 1 species
UACAGAGGUCUCAAGCGUUGUUCGGAUUCAUUGGGCGUAAAGGGUGCGUAGGCGGCGCGGUAAGUCGGGUGUGAAAUCUCGGGGCUUAACUCCGAAACUGCAUUCGAUACUGCCGUGCUUGAGGACUGGAGAGGAGACUGGAAUUCCUGGUGUAGCGGUGGAAUGCGCAGAUAUCAGGAGGAACACCGAUGGCGAAGGCAGGUCACUGGGCCGCAACUGACGCUGGGGAGCGAAAGCAUGGGGAGCGAACAGG